rnacentral:rRNA from 1 species
GACGAACGCUGGCGGCGUGCUUAACACAUGCAAGUCGAACGAAAAGGCCCUGCGUUUGUGGGGUGCUCGAGUGGCGAAGGGGGGAGUGACACGUGAGGAACCUGUCCUUGUCUUUGGGAGAACAUCAGGAAACUGGGGCUCAUAUCGCGUAGAAGCUCCUGCAGCGUGUGGGUGGUUGGAAAGUGUCGGCUGUUGGGGCUGGACUCGCGGCUUAUGAGCUUGUUGGUGGGGUUGGGGCUUACCAGGGCUAUGAAGGGUAGCCGGCCUGGGAGGGUUAACGGCCACAUGGGGCCUGAGAGACGCACCAGAAUCCAACGGGAGGCAGUAGUCGGAAACAUUGCAGAACGGGCGGAAGCCUGAGGCAGCAACCCCGCGUGCGUGAUGACGUCCUUCGAGUUGUAAACCGCUUUCGCCUGUGACGAAGAGUGAGUGACGGUAACGGGUAAAGAAGCCCCGGCUAACUACGUG